UACGGAGGGGGCUAGCGUUGUUCGGAACUACUGGGCGUAAAGCGCGCGUAGGCGGACCUGCAAGUCGGGGGUGAAAGCCCGAGGCUCAACCUCGGAACUGCCUUCGAUACUGCGGGUCUCGAGUCCGGGAGAGGUGAGUGGAAUUCCUAGUGUAGAGGUGAAAUUCGUAGAUAUCUGGAGGAACACCGGUGGCGAAGGCGGCAUCCUGGACCGACACUGACGCUGAGGAGCGAAAGUGUGGGGAGCGAACAGG
rnacentral:rRNA from 1 species